UUCAAUAGUAUUUAUAAUAGUAUUUAUGUAAUAAUAUACAAAGCACAUGUGUAAUACUAAAAAUAAAAAUUCAUGUAAAAUAUCAUGUAUUCUGUCAAGGAUCGAAAUUAAGUUAUGUUGAUCGCAAAGUGGCGCACGUAUCGCAUAGAAUAUAUCGGUUUACGGCAAACUCUCAAAUUUAAAUUCUAAAUCUUCGAAAUCGUACCGUAAAAAAAGUAAUAAAGAUAAAAAUAAAAUAUUUUUAGAAAGUUACAAGUAUGUAGAAAAACUUGAUAUUAUAAAAAAAGAUAACUACUGUUGUUUAAACUACGUAAUUUGUCAAAGAACUUAUAGAACUUCAAGAACUCGUUAUAAGCUCAUUUAGCAUACAAACAAACAAGAAAUAUAUAAGAAUUACGUAUGUUGUUCCGCCAGAAUAAUCAAUAACAAAAUCGUUUAAACAACCAAACUGGCAAUUUAUUCGUAAAAUCACGACGUUUCGACCACAAAUUUGGUCCUUCUCAAGUGUUUAUGAUACGGUUCUAAAUACGUAGCAAUCUGCUAUUUAUCUUCUAUUAUAUUACUUGUUUGCUGACCUCUGCCUCUUACGGACGUGUCUUACCUUCGCUCUCACUCGUGCUAUGUUCUUUGUUAAAGUCUUUUUCUGGAAGUAAGUAGUUUUAGUAAUUUUACAGUUGUACCUGAGCUAAUGAUUUCUUACCUUUUUUGUUAUUUUUUUUUAUAUACAGAAAAGGACUUUCAUUUUUAUUAUUGUCAUUCACUCGAGAAGGACCAAAUUUGUGGUCGAAACGUCGUGAUUUUACGAAUAAAUUGCCAGUUUGGUUGUUUAAACGAUUUUGUUAAGAAAUAUAUAAACUAUGAGUUCGUAAUACGUUAACUAACUAAUAGAUCGCGUUUAUAUUAGUUUUGAUAAAGUGUAACAUUUACUUUCUGAGAAAUAGGGGAAAAAUUAUGUCUCUUUAGAAGGUCUGUGUCAGUUUCGGCGCCUUUCCUCUAACAAGAAAAGGCUUAUAUAGUUAUCUCAUUCUUGGUUUUAUCCCGAUGCAGAAGAAAAGAAAUUUAACAUCUAUGAAUAACCAGAGGAUUAAAGCUGGAUAUUAUUCUUUCGUGUAUUUAUGAAAUAUUUAGAGCGCGCAUGCUGUAAUCUGUCAAAGUAUGCGCUCAAUUUUUAUCCUAUUUACGGCUGUUGCUUUCAUGCGAUUAUUAACGGUAAUGAUUCCAUUAACGCUUAAUUGGAAAGGCAGGUAAAAAGCUGACUGCCGAAAAAACAUCUUUGUGUGAGCAACAUCUAAAGACCUAAAUCUGGAGAGAAAAAUGCUUACAUCCCAUUUCGCAAGAAGAAAAAUACGGAUAUAAAUACAAUUUAAACAUUAUACAUAAUAAUCCCGUAAUUGUUUCGUGCAUAAACACCAUUAUUUCAGACGAAACUAAAGUUUUUGCUCGUGGAGCUCAACAACGCCAGGCAUUCCGCUUAAUCCAGCAAUGGGUGAAUAACCCCUCAUAAGCCCACGUUACAAAAAUACUUAUACAGCCAUGUUUUCGCCAUGUAUCGUUCGCUCGCGCAAAGAGGAGAUUGGGUUUUGUUACUAUAUCGCGUCGUCCAGUAACAUUCAGAGGAUUCCAUGAACAUAACGAUAUCUAGAUACAUAAGCGUCUCCGCGAAAGGUGCCGUUUCUGUCCGCCGCGAAUCCGCGGCGACGAAUUAACGAUACGAUCGAUUCUUAUCAUCCAAUCGUCGCGCGCUCGACGAGAUCGCGUUUGCUCGUCCCGGAGCAAGGCCCGCGACUGCAUUAAGGGCGCUUCGCAAGUAAACGCACGACGAUCUGUCGAGCGUGCUGUUACACCCGCCACCGUGUAUACGGGCAAGAGAGCGUUAUUAAUGUCGCGGCGAGUGUGUGCCGACUGCACGGAGCGGCCGACGGCUGAUUAGAGCCCCCGGUCGUGUCAACACGCGAAACGAGCAACGGAAACGUGGCAACGCUGCGGCCGUGCAUGCGCGCGCGCGGACGGACGGACGGACGGACGGACAAGCGGACGACUUUAGUAGCCGGCCGGUCGGUCCCGAGCGCGACGCGCGUACACGCCCGCCUUCGGCUCGGUGGAACGUCCGCAUGUCCGAGAACGACCUUCCCUCCGCACGGUUCGCACACCCGUGUCGAGCAACUUGGUCUGCCGCGCCACGCCGCAUCGUGAAACGUUUCUAUUUCGCGUCUCUCGCGUGUGUGCGCGCGCGCGCGCGCGUCAUCAUCAUCGUCCCGUGAUUCCCUGCGCGGGUAUAGCAGUAGUCGAGAUCAGGUUGACUGAGCGUGUCCAAACUCUUGAGGACGUGUCCUCCUUUCUUUCUUCCUGAUUAAUUUUCAAUGUUUCCCGAUUUUUUUGUACCUUGCGCAGUCGAUCGAGAUGAGAUUAAGGUUUGUGGGUAAGUUUAUGAAGUGUGUCCCGUUACUUUGUAAACGUCCGUCGCAACGGAGUCAUAAAUCACAUUCCUCAGUUAUGAGUAGAGUCGAAUGCAGCCUGCGCAGUACGCAACAAGAUAGAAAGACUGAACCUUGAUAGUGAGGAAAACUUCGACAUUUUUUACGCUGCCAUUUGUUUUUCUUGCGUUUAUGUCCUGUGUUUACAGUAGUAAUGUUUACAACACUACACGCGUAGGUCAGAAUUGAUAACUCUUUUUUCGUUUUGUCUAGAAUACUUGCUUUUACUGGAUCAAUGUAGUACCUACGCAUAUCUUGCUAUUUUUAAACGUGUGUGAUCUUUAAACCAAUCAGUGACUCGUUUUUCGCUUGAAUGCUAGAUGGUAAAUUUAACAAAGAUUAUUUUGUUAAGAUAACAAAGACUGUUAGACUAAAUAGCUUGCUAAACUGUAGUGCAUCCAGCUUCAAUUUUAAUAUUUAAUUUUUGUUACUUUGUUAGUAGCUUUAGUGUUUCUUACAUUGCAGUGUAUUUCGGUCUUGUCGUGUCGUUACGCGGUUCUGCGACAAAACUUUACUGAAGUGAAUACAAAAGAUACAUUUUUAUUGAUAAUCUACUCUAUUUUUUAUCGCGUUCACGGACAACAGAUAUCUUUUACGUUCACAUUUAGAGAUCUAGAUUUAUUACACUAUUUGUACGUAAUCGUGCAGUACGAAUGAAACGCAGGCAAGUUGGGGGCGGGCAUAAAUUAUAUGUGUAAUAAAAUGCAACGUUGCGUAUCGCGAUAUAUAAAGAUACUCUUCGUUACGCCGAAGUCCACGCAACGCAAGAACGCGUUAUCGCAUCGCAUUACCUUGAGUAACACAAGACGUGACUUGCAAGAAAAGGAAAGAAAAAAAAAUAACUGCACGACAGUGUUUAAAGACAAUAUUUUUUUACAUCUCACCUGAGUAGUCCCGGAUUGAUAUACCACGUGGCUUCUCCUUUUUUUACCGUGCAAGUGAUUAAUUGUAAUUAAAUUCUUGUAUCGUCGUCGUAACGAGAUAGUCGAACGAGAAAAGUGAAGAAAGCGGACAAAGUGGCAGCGGCGGACCCGUUAUCGUAUCAACAAGUUUUGUAUCGUAUCGCAAUUCACCCGGCUAGACUAUGCGCGUAUAAUUGCUACUUCUAGCGUCUCACUCGCGGCCCAUUCGACGAUUUUCGCUAGCGUGCUGGGUCCUUACGAACAAAGAGUAAUAAAGGCAACUGCAGGAUGCAUAAUCACACGUUGCGCGGUUAUAGAUAUUAUAUAUUUCGCUGGACGCGCCGUGUGAUAGUCGUAGUGUACUUCGAUUAUGUGCGGCCGUAAUGAAUUAUUGCGCGCGCGCGCGUGUUCGUUGCGAAAGAAACAUUGUGACAUACCUACGGGAGUAAGGGAGCCCAGGGGUUGCGGAAUUAAACCCAUACAUUCUUUGCAUGCGACGCAAGCGAGUAAACAGGAGAAAGGAUUUAAUCACUGUGGAUAUACGUGAUGAUAGUGUACGCUCUUGUACAACGCGAUAUUAACGUCAAUCACAGCGUACUUAUAUCAGAUUUUUCUGGACAGGGUUUCAUUACGCACAGUUUGAGUCACGCAACUUUUUUAUACAACUAUUCGCCUGCAAUCUUUCUGUAUUUUUUUCUCGUAAUAUGCGCGUAUAAAUAGCUGACGCGUGCGUUUUGAUGGUUUAAUAAUGUGUGUUACAUAUUAUGUGAAUAGAUGUCAUAAGACGCGGGUAACGAUUAUUACAGCGCGUUGUACCGCGCAUUUCAUCUUGCUGUAAAAAUAACUCGGGGGAACCCAUGUGCGGCGAAUAAUCAAUACUCGCAAUAUCUUGUCGAGCUAUUUUUGAGAUAACAUUUCAUCUCGUAGUACAAGAUUCCCGUUAAUCCCGGUCUGACAGAACGCCGUGUCGCACGGACGAACGAAAUGUGCGACCGUCUCCAAGAAUAAUGCGGCGUCAGCUGACUCAGUCCGGCCGUAUGAAUGAACGAGCGGCUUGCCAACCGUGAUAGCUCUCAUCAAUUAUGCCUUGGCAUCUUGGCCCGAAGAAAAAAAAAACGAAAUAUUGGGUUGGCCAAAAAGUUAACAACUCACAGUUCAAGCUUCUUUUA